CCCCAGCGCCGGCGUCCCGCCCGCGUCCUCCGGAGCAUUCCGGUCGUGCCGCAGCCGGGCCGCGGCCCAGGACGGGCGGGACGCGCAGACCUCGGGCAGGGCGGCCGGGCGGGGUCCUCACGAGCUCCGCCGGGGUCGCCCUCGGCCAAGGGAGGUGGGACAACACGGUGGCGGGGGCGGUCUCCUUGGAAAGGGCGUCCCGGGCGAGCCGCGCGCCCUUUGGGAGCCUGAGCCGACCCGGGGAACGGGAACGGCCCGCAGUUGCUGGGGAGAGCGGAUUCACAGCCGCCGUUACUCGGCCGUGCCUCGUCGAAAGGCCAUCUCUAGCGGCAGUUUGAGAGCCGCGGUUCGUUCCACAAGUGGCUGGAGCGGCCUCGCGGGGCCGGAGGCGCGGGCGAGAGGCGAGGGGCCCGGCGGGCGCGCAGCCCUGCGGCGCAACGGAAAGUCGCGAACCGGGCGCGAGAAACAGGCCCACGGCAGGUGGCUCAGCAGCCACCAGAUGCGUCCCCCACGCCACGGUGUGUUGAGACCGCGCCAGCGACUGUGCCAGAUCCUGAGGAGGCGGGGCGGUUUCCUGUUGCACCGCAGCUGCUCAGCGCCGGAGGCUGCGCAGUAGAUGUGAACACGCAACAAAGAGGAGCUCUCUGGGUCACCUGCCCAUCCUCCCAGCCUGUCUAGAAUUACAAAGGUGUAUCUGAGGAGGAGCCCUGGCUGUAGCCCUCAAAGUGAAGAGGAAGACAAGGCAAAGGUUGGAGUCAUUCCUCCAGGUCACCUAGGGGACCCACUCCUCCGGCAUCUGACAGCACAGUAGGAAGCCCGUCGCUGCUAGAGUCUGAAAAAUAGCAGUGAUGAGAUCUCACAGUCGUGAGCAUUUUCAGACACAUUCACUGCUGGGAUCCUGGCAACAGCCCCCAGGGGAUGAGGAUGAGAUCAUUGUUCCUCUGCAGAUGAGGAAACUGAGGGCUCGUGGAGGGUCUGGAGGCCUCUAAGGCCCUGCUGGACUGGCCCCUGCCAGUCUACCAGCCCCACCUGGCCUUGGUCCAACACACUGGCCUUCCUUCACCGUCCCAAAGUGCCACAUACCUUCCCACCCAGACCCUGCUCAGGCCUGACAGACCUUCAGUGUGCAGUGCCCCCACCCCUGCCUUGGCUUGCUGAUUGCUACUCAUCCUUAUGCGCCUGGGAAUCCCCUGGGAUCUUGUUAAAAAGCAGAUUUUGAUUUAGUAGAGCUGUGUGGGGCCUGAGAUUCUGCAUUUCCAACAUGUGCCCAGAGCUCAUCUUCUAUCUGAGAGCCACUCUGAGUAGCAAGGCUGAGGCUGGCAUGAGCCUCGCUUUGUCUGGACAGUGUCAGGAAACUCCGGGGACAGUUGCACGAUACCCUUCCUUGGUUCGUAGUUAUAACGAAGUGUUCAUUGUGCUUUCCUGGCUCCAAUGUAAUCUCCAUGAAAUCAGGGACUGUCACUGUCUCCUUCAUAUUUGUAUUCCCAGUGCCAUACACAGAGCCUGGCAUAUGAUAAAUGCUCACUACAUGUCUGUUGAGUGAGUGAGAGAGUGAGUGAGAGAGAGAGACAGAAAGCUAACACUGGUCUUCCCACAGAAAAUGCUGUUCCUUGAUUUCCAAGGAUGGGACACUGGGGAAAAUUUCACAAUCCAUCAUCAAAUCCAGAUUUUACUGGAGACCCCAAAUCCCAGGCAUUAAAAGGAGAAAAUAAAAAAUGUUUGUGGUGAUUAUCUCUCCA